UUUUUUAUGCCCCACCUACGAUAGUAGAGGGGCAUUAUGUUUUCUGGUCUGUGCGUCCGUUCGUCCGUCCGUCUGUCUGUCUGUCUGUCUGUCUGUCUGUUCGUUCGUUCGUCCGUCUGUCCCACUUCAGGUUAAAGUUUUUGGUCAAGGUAGUUUUUGAUGAAGUUGAAGUCCAAUCAACUUGAAACUUAGUAUACAUGUGCCCUAUGAUAUGAUCUUUUUAAUUUAAAUGCCAAAUUAUAGUUUUGACCCCAAUUUUAUGGUUCACUGAACAUAGAAAAUGAUAGUGCAAAUUUCAGGUUAAAGUUUUUGGUCAAGGUAGUUUUUGAUAAAGUAGAAGUCCAAUCAACUUGAAACUUAGUAUACAUGUUCCCUUUGAUUAGAUCAUUCUAAUUUUAAUGCCAAAUAAGAGAAUUUAUUCCAAUUUCACGGUCCACUAAACAUAGAAAAUGAUAGUGCGAGUGGGGCAUCCGUGUACUGUGGACAC
rnacentral:lncRNA from 1 species